AGUGAACGCUGGCGGUAGGCCUAACACAUGCAAGUCGAACGGCAGCACAGAGGAGCUUGCUCCUUGGGUGGCGAGUGGCGGACGGGUGAGGAAUACAUCGGAAUCUACUCUGUCGUGGGGGAUAACGUAGGGAAACUUACGCUAAUACCGCAUACGACCUACGGGUGAAAGCAGGGGAUCUUCGGACCUUGCGCGAUUGAAUGAGCCGAUGUCGGAUUAGCUAGUUGGCGGGGUAAAGGCCCACCAAGGCGACGAGCCGUAGCUGGUCUGAGAGGAUGAUCAGCCACACUGGAACUGAGACACGGUCCAGACUCCUACGGGAGGCAGCAGUGGGGAAUAUUGGACAAUGGGCGCAAGCCUGAUCCAGCCAUACCGCGUAGGUGAAGAAGGCCUUCGGGUUGUAAAGCCCUUUUGUUGGGAAAGAAAUCCAUCUGGUUAAUACCCGGGUGGGAUGACGGUACCCAAAGAAUAAGCACCGGCUAACUUCGUGCCAGCAGCCGCAGUAAAAC
rnacentral:rRNA from 1 species